CUUUUUAUAGCUGUUUUUUUCUUUCACAGAUGGAAGCAAGUGGAGAACAGAAAGGGCACACAUGCACAGAUGAAACUGCUAUAUGUGAUGGCUUAUACAAUGCAGUCACAGUCAAAGAAAAAGAGCCUGUAUCUUAUGAGGCAGUGGCUAGUGGCACUGAUGAUUGGUGUCAGAAAGGGGGCAAAGAAGGCAGAAAGAAACAAAAUUGAACCACAUGGAAAGGCUCACUUUGAACAGGACACAAGCUGAAGACAAAGGAGGAAUGGUAGUGACCCUACUUCCUGAGGCUUAAGCAAACUAUAUGGGAUCACCAGAGAAGGGUUGAGAUGAGUAACAGCAGCUUCCUUCACAUGCACUUCUGUCAGUGUAGCAGCUGAAUGUACAGGGCAGUUUGUUGACUUCAACACAUCCCACAUUACUGAACUUGAGUGAUUUACUUAAAUGUAGUAAUGGCUAUGAUAAAUUAUGAACUGGUAAGCUUAAAUACACGUAUUUAACUUUAUAAAAAAAGUGAACGUGUUUUACUAUCUGUUGUUACUAUUCUUCAUAUCUGUGCUAAGGACUCCUGACCCAGAGAAAAGUGGUGCGUGUGAGUCAAUAGGUACAGCUUGAAUGUUUUUGAUCUCCUCAAGCGGAAAUCCACACAACACAGAGGAAGGAAGGAGAGUGAGGAGAAGGAUGGGUUGUGUACUGCUUCCACCAAAUCAAUUUCUUGGAUAACUGUGUUCAAAAGAUGUACAUACAACUGAUUUUGAAUCAGGAUGUCUGAAUAAUACACUCGACCCUCGAAACAACGGACCUCCCAUCAAUGGAUUUCAGAAACUACGGACAAAUUCUAGAGUCCGGUUUAAUCUACGGACGAAUAUUAAAAUGCGCGUGAUUGUCUGUUUCCAGCAAAUUAUUGUCUGGUAGGUGGCGGAUCGGUCAGCUGUUGGCCGCCAUGUUUUAUCUUCAGUCCGUGCGUUUAUUAAACUGACCAUGCUCAUGUCAUCUAUUUCAGGUUAUUUGUUGUACUUAAUGCUUUGUAAUAAUGCUUGAAUGAUUUCUUAAUGAUUACACAGUAUUUUACAUUCAUUUUAUACAGUUUUUUACAUACUUUUGCAAAGAAUGGAUGGACUUUUGUAAUUAAUCUACGGACAGGGUUGUGCACUCAUUUGUCCGUUGUUUCGAGGGUUGAGUGUACUGUAAUAACUUAAUUAGAAAGUUAGAAUAGUUUGAGCUUUGAAUUAGGUCCACAACAUACUUUUUUGCAAAGAAUGGACUUUUGUAAUUAAUCUACGGACAGGGUCGUGCACGCAUUUGUCCGUUGUUUCGAGGGUCGAGUGUCCUGUAAUAACUUAAUUAGAAAGUUAGAAUAGUUUGAGCUUUGAAUUAGGUCCACAACUUCACUGCUGAUACUGUAAACACUUGAAAAAAAGCUUUACAAUUUGGAAAGAAUAAUAUGCUAAGGUUAUUUCCAUAAUACUUGACUGCCUUUAUAUCUUGAGCCAUUAGAAUAAAACAGAAUAUGGAAAUUGUGUAUUUACC